rnacentral:rRNA from 1 species
UACGUAGGGUGCAAGCGUUAAUCGGAAUUACUGGGCGUAAAGCGUGCGCAGGCGGCUUUGCAAGACAGAUGUGAAAUCCCCGGGCUUAACCUGGGAACUGCAUUUGUGACUGCAUGGCUAGAGUGCGGCAGAGGGGGAUGGAAUUCCGCGUGUAGCAGUGAAAUGCGUAGAUAUGCGGAGGAACACCGAUGGCGAAGGCGGAUCUCUGGGCCUGUCCUGACGCUGAGGCGCGAAAGCUAGGGGAGCGAACAGG